CCUACGGGUGGCAGCAGUGAGGAAUAUUGGUCAAUGGGCUUACGCCUGAACCAGCCAAGUCGCGUGAGGGAAGACUGCCCUAUGGGUUGUAAACCUCUUUUGUCAGGGAGCAACGCCGGCUACGUGUAGCCGGACUGAGAGUACCUGAAGAAAAAGAAUCGGCUAACUCCGUGCCAGCAGCCGCGGUAAUACGGAGGUGGCAAGCGUUAUCCGGAUUUAUUGGGUUGAAAGGGAGCGUAGGUGGAUUGUUAAGGCGGUUGGGAAAGUUUGCGGCUCAACCGUAAAAUUGCAGUUGAAACUGGCAGUCUUGAGUACAGUAGAGGUGGGCGGAAUUCGUGGUGUAGCGGUGAAAUGCUUAGAUAUCACGAAGAACUCCGAUUGCGAAGGCAGCUUACUGGACCGCAACUGACACUGAGGCUCGAAAGUGUGGGUAUCAAACAGGAUUAGAUACCCUGGUAGUC
rnacentral:rRNA from 1 species